AGUGAACGCUGGCGGUAGGCCUAACACAUGCAAGUCGAACGGCAGCACAGUAAGAGCUUGCUCUUACGGGUGGCGAGUGGCGGACGGGUGAGGAAUACAUCGGAAUCUACUUUUUCGUGGGGGAUAACGUAGGGAAACUUACGCUAAUACCGCAUACGACCUACGGGUGAAAGCAGGGGAUCUUCGGACCUUGCGCGAUUGAAUGAGCCGAUGUCGGAUUAGCUAGUUGGCGGGGUAAAGGCCCACCAAGGCGACGAUCCGUAGCUGGUCUGAGGGGAUGAUCAGCCACACUGGAACUGAGACACGGUCCAGACUCCUACGGGAGGCAGCAGUGGGGAAUAUUGGACAAUGGGCGCAAGCCUGAUCCAGCCAUACCGCGUGGGUGAAGAAGGCCUUCGGGUUGUAAAGCCCUUUUGUUGCGAAAGAAAAGCAGCAGGUUAAUACCCCGCUGUUCUGACGGUACCCAAAGAAUAAGCACCGGCUAACUUCGUG
rnacentral:rRNA from 1 species